AUCAGGGUAUUGGCCUGUAAAAAGAGUUGGGCGACUCGGCACACA
rnacentral:sRNA from 1 species